rnacentral:lncRNA from 1 species
UCAAGACCACAACAGGAACAUAGCCAAGUCAGAGAAGGAAGACCAAAAGCACCAGGGCCCUUCAUAUUAUUAAGCUGCUAAAUUAACUAAUCUUGGAAACUUCUAGACUCUACAAUUCUUGUUGUAUGAGAACUUCUAGCAACUAACCCUGGCAUGACCACCAGAAUCUGCAGGGCUGAGAGAAGAAAGAAAGGCAAAAGUGGAUGAAUGCAGCUGAAGAUGCUGUGGAACUCCUAUCACAUUCCAAGUGCUGUGUUGAUAUCUGGAGAUAUAGACAAGAUCGAAGCAGAUGCAGUCUUUCACAUGAAUAUUUGAAUCAGGCAGUAUGUUCCCCAAAUUAGCAAAGUAUCUCCCAGAUUUUUUCUUUGAUGAUAUAUUUGAAAUCCUAAUGCUGAAAGUUAAAUUAUCAGGGUUUUAAAACUAGAAGCAGUCAUUAUCAGAAUUUUAUAUACUAUUUAUUUUUAAGAACGUAAUUUGACUGUUUAAGUCUUAUUAUAAUUUUAAGUGAAGUACUUUGGGCAGUCAUAAAUAAAGUAAUGGGCAGGUAUUUAGUA